rnacentral:rRNA from 1 species
CCCUAUGGGGUGCACCAGGCAGGGAUCCGGGAGAGGCGAUACGUCACGUUUGACGAUUUCGCCCAACUUUCUGCGGCAAAGUCGGACCCGGAGGGAUUCAUCGAACGGGCCGGGGCGCUUACGAUUGACGAGGCCCACAAGUGCCCCGAGAUUUUCGAUGCGAUCAAGCGGGCCGUGGACAGGAAGAGGGAGCCCGGCCGGUUCCUUUUGUCCGGCUCCGCCAAUUUCCUUGUGCUGAAGAGUCUCUCGGAGAGCCUGGCCGGCAGGGCAAUCUACUUCGUCCUUCAUCCCUUUGCGCGCCGUGAGAUCCUGAAGAAGACGACCGAGGAGCCCUUUAUCAAGAGGUUCGUCGAGGCGGGAGAGC